AGAGAAGUUGUUCUAUAAACCUGCAUCUUUGGAAACACCUCAUAAAGUAACUGUGUGAGCUCCUUUACUCAUAGAACUACCUGUUAGAUCCAUGGGAAAGAACGAGAAGACAGAG
ensembl:snoRNA